UCAGACGAUGCGUCAUGCAUAUCAAUAAGCGGAGGAAAAGAAACUAACAAGGAUUCCCCUAGUAACGGCGAGUGAAGCGGGAAGAGCUCAAAUUUGAAAUCUUAAAGGGUUUCCCUUUACGAAUUGUAGUUUAAAGAAGUGUUUUCUGUUGAGGUUUUGGUAAAAGUUCUUUGGAAUAGGACAUCAUAGAGGGUGAGAAUCCCGUAUUUGACCUUUACUUUCAACUUUGUGAUACACUUUCAAAGAGUCGGAUUGUUUGGGAAUGCAGUCCAAAAUGGGUGGUAAAUUUCAUCUAAAGCUAAAUAUUGGCGAGAGACCGAUAGCGAACAAGUACCGUGAGGGAAAGAUGAAAAGAACUUUGAAAAGAGAGUUAAACAGUACGUGAAAUUGUCAAAAGGGAAGCGUUUGACACCAGUGUUGUCUUUCUGAAAAUCAAUUAAAGAACUGUUUAUGCUAAGCUGUUUAGACUUUAUCAGCUAUCUGUUUAGUUUUAGGCUUUUCUUUAAUGCACUUUUCAGUUAACAAGUCAACAUCAAUUUCUUUUGCUGUAAAAAAGCUUGAGGAAGGUGGCUUGAGAUUCGUCUUAAGUGUUUAUAGCCUCUUGCCUAUGCAGUCGGAGAGAUUGAGGUCUGCAGCGUAGAUCCUUCGGGGCUAAAUGCAUUUGUGCUAAGUUAUAGCAUUUUAUAGACAACUUGUUGACUAUGAUUUGUCUUGUAGCUUACUCGCUUAUGUUAUUUUACCUACGCUUAGGAUGUUGACACACGCGCGUGCUCG
rnacentral:rRNA from 1 species